rnacentral:rRNA from 1 species
UACGUAGGGGGCAAGCGUUGUCCGGAAUCAUUGGGCGUAAAGCGCGUGUAGGCGGCCCGAUAAGUCCGCUGUGAAAGUCCAAGGCUCAACCUUGGAAUGCCGGUGGAUACUGUCGGGCUCGAGUCCGGAAGAGGCGAGUGGAAUUCCUGGUGUAGCGGUGAAAUGCGCAGAUAUCAGGAAGAACACCCGUGGCGAAGGCGGCUCUCUGGGACGGUACUGACGCUGAGACGCGAAAGCGUGGGGAGCGAACAGG